rnacentral:rRNA from 1 species
AACGAACGCUGGCGGCAUGCCUAACAUAUGCCAGUCGAACGAGACCUUCGGGUCUAGUGGCGCACGGGUGCGUAACGCGUGGGAACCUGCCCUUAGGUUCGGAAUAACUCCCCGAAAGGGGUGCUAAUACCGGAUAAUGUCUUCGGACCAAAGAUUUAUCGCCUUUGGAUGGGCCCGCGUUGGAUUAGCUAGUUGGUAGGGUAAAAGCCUACCAAGGCGACGAUCCAUAGCUGGUCUGAGAGGAUGAUCAGCCACACUGGGACUGAGACACGGCCCAGACUCCUACGGGAGGCAGCAGUGGGGAAUAUUGGACAAUGGGCGAAAGCCUGAUCCAGCAAUGCCGCGUGAGUGAUGAAGGCCUUAGGGUUGUAAAGCUCUUUUACCCGGGAUGAUAAUGACAGUACCGGGAGAAUAAGCGCCGGCUAACUCCGUG